GUAAAUGUAAUGAGGGAGAACGUUGUAAUCCUAAGAUCGUUUCAGAGAACCGGUGGUUGGUGCGAACCGGCAACGAAGGGAAUGCAAAAAUCACUCCUGAACAGCAAAGCUGAAAUGCAUAAGUAAGCUGCGCCGGCUUCAGCUCCUAAAUGGAGUGCAACCGUUAUCUUGCUAGGGUUGUUAGACCCGAUGAGAUGUAGACCAAUUGGUCUAUAAAAAGGGUGGUAUCGCGAGAAAUUUCUCUUGCCCCUUUG
rnacentral:ncRNA from 1 species